UCUCGCCCCUCCCCCUUUCCCCCUCCCCGCGGGCCGCCCCCCGCCUCCGGGGACGGCGGGCGGGGCCCCCUCGGCCAAGACGAAGGUGAUCUACCACCUGGACGAGGAGGAGACGCCCUACCUGGUCAAGAUCGCCGUGCCGGCCGAGCGCCUCACCCUCGGCCACGUCAAGGCGGCCCUGGCCCGGCCCGGCGCCAAGUACUUCUUCAAGAGCAUGGACCAGGACUUCGGGGUGGUGAAGGAGGAGAUCACCGAGGACAGUGCCCUCCUGCCCUGCUUCAACGGAAGGGUCGUCUCCUGGCUGGUGUCUUCAGAGGUCCACCCACCCGAGCCGCCACUGCCCCCUUCUCCUGCUCCCAGAGGUCUGGAGCCUUCUCCCCCACCUCCUCUUCCUCCAUUGCCCGUAGAAAGGACCAGCGCAAUCUGCGACUCCCGCCCUCCUUUCUUCCAGUGAGUAGGAAUGGCUGGUGUGUUUGUGUGUCUGUGUUUGGGGGUUUCUACAUGGUAGAGUUAAAAAGGGGGACUAACCCAGCCUAGGACAGGUAUGAAGUUUAGUGGUCGGGGUAUCUUUUGUGGGGGGUGGCUAACAGAAGAAAAGUUUGAGCUAACUUUCUUCAGAAGUAUUUUAGUUUUUGUUGCUUUUAUUUAUUAUUGUUACACUUUUAUCCUGCAUGUAUUGCUUUAUAAGGAACUCAAGGUGUAGCAAUCAUAUUUAAUGCUGUUCCUUUUAUUUUCUCCCCAAAAAAACCCAGCUGG
rnacentral:lncRNA from 1 species